rnacentral:rRNA from 1 species
GACGAACGCUGGCGGCGUGCUUAACACAUGCAAGUCGAACGGAAAGGCCUUGCUUUUGUGGGGUGCUCGAGUGGCGAACGGGUGAGUAACACGUGAGUAACCUGCCCUUGACUUUGGGAUAACUUCAGGAAACUGGGGCUAAUACCGGAUAGGAGCUCCUGCUGCAUGGUGGGGGUUGGAAAGUUUCGGCGGUUGGGGAUGGACUCGCGGCUUAUCAGCUUGUUGGUGGGGUAGUGGCUUACCAAGGCUUUGACGGGUAGCCGGCCUGAGAGGGUGACCGGCCACAUUGGGACUGAGAUACGGCCCAGACUCCUACGGGAGGCAGCAGUGGGGAAUGUUGCACAAUGGGCGGAAGCCUGAUGCAGCAACGCCGCGUGCGGGAUGACGGCCUUCGGGUUGUAAACCGCUUUCGCCUGUGACGAAGCGUGAGUGACGGUAAUGGGUAAAGAAGCACCGGCUAACUACGUG